UAAGGGAUAUUGGUCAAUGGGGCGGGAGCCUGAACCAGCCAUGCCGCGUGAGGGAUUGAGGCCCUACGGGUCGUAAACCUCUUUUGCCGGGGGAUAACGGGCGCCACGUGUGGCGCCGUGAAGGUACCCGGAGAAUAAGCAUCGGCUAACUCCGUGCCAGCAGCCGCGGUAAUACGGGGGAUGCGAGCGUUAUCCGGAUUCAUUGGGUUUAAAGGGUGCGUAGGCGGCUUUGCAAGUCAGCGGUGAAAGGCCCGGGCUCAACCCGGAAAGUGCCGUUGAUACUGUGAGGCUGGAAUGCGGAUGCUGUGGGAGGAAUGAGUGGUGUAGCGGUGAAAUGCAUAGAUAUGACGCAGAACUCCGAUUGCGAAGGCAGCUUUCCAGCGCGCUACUGACGCUGAGGCACGAAAGCGUGGGG
rnacentral:rRNA from 1 species